AUCACUCGGCUCGUCCGUCAACAAAGAGUGUGGCCAGCCGCGAUAACUGAGGCGAAUUGCAGGACUCGGUGAACAUCGACACCUGGAACGCACGUUACGGACUCAAGAUC